GGCAAGAUAAUGAAUCUGUAAGGGUGACCAUCUGCCAAGGUUGCGAAGACAGGAGUCGGUCUAGUGGUCUACUUGCAUCCGAACCUGACGAUGUGCCACCCACCUGUCCCUCCUUCACCAGGUAUGGCAUCACCAAGAACAGCGGAUCCACUGUCGUCAACAUCAGCAUUCCUCCGUCUGAAACACCACCAACACCUCUUGUUUUGUUGUAAAAUCCCAGUCAGCGAUAUUCCAAUACUUUCUGCAAGUGACAGUUAUUACAUAUGAUGCUAAAUGACACUCAGCUAUAUUCAAGUUAUAUGACUGGAACUAAUCAUCUGCACCACACAAUCAAGUGAUUGAUAUUGAAAGCAAGUGUAUGAAAGGUAUUUCAGUUAUACAACCACCCAGCAGCUUGAUGUGGGAUGAAACACAUUUACCACCGAACUUUGGUAUGGCCAAAUCUUGGAUGUAUACCAAACACCACAGGGUUCUGGUACACCUAAGGGAGGCAACUCCGCACAACCAUAAAAAGUGUCUCAGAUGAUGAGGCCACGAAUAUGCAUUGAAUCUAUCUCGGUUUUGAUGUCUCACCAUGCUGAAUUGUAUCUCCAAUAAACCAAGAUCUGAAUUCCUC